GGUGGCUCAGUGGUAGAGUGCUUGCCUCCCACGCAUGAAGUCCUGGGUUGGAUUCCUCAGCACCA
rnacentral:tRNA from 1 species